AGAGUUUGAUCCUGGCUCAGGAUGAACGCUAGCUACAGGCUUAACACAUGCAAGUCGAGGGGCAGCAUUUCAGUUUGCUUGCAAACUGGAGAUGGCGACCGGCGCACGGGUGAGUAACACGUAUCCAACCUGCCGAUAACUCGGGGAUAGCCUUUCGAAAGAAAGAUUAAUACCCGAUGGUAUAAUCAGACCGCAUGGUUUGAUUAUUAAAGAAUUUCGGUUAUCGAUGGGGAUGCGUUCCAUUAGGCAGUUGGUGAGGUAACGGCUCACCAAACCUUCGAUGGAUAGGGGUUCUGAGAGGAAGGUCCCCCACAUUGGAACUGAGACACGGUCCAAACUCCUACGGGAGGCAGCAGUGAGGAAUAUUGGUCAAUGGGCGCAGGCCUGAACCAGCCAAGUAGCGUGAAGGAUGACUGCCCUAUGGGUUGUAAACUUCUUUUAUAUGGGAAUAAAGUUUUCCACGUGUGGAAUUUUGUAUGUACCAUAUGAAUAAGGAUCGGCUAACUCCGUGCCAGCAGCCGCGGUAAUACGGAGGAUCCGAGCGUUAUCCGGAUUUAUUGGGUUUAAAGGGAGCGUAGGUGGACAGUUAAGUCAGUUGUGAAAGUUUGCGGCUCAACCGUAAAAUUGCAGUUGAUACUGGCUGUCUUGAGUACAGUAGAGGUGGGCGGAAUUCGUGGUGUAGCGGUGAAAUGCUUAGAUAUCACGAAGAACUCCGAUUGCGAAGGCAGCUCACUGGACUGCAACUGACACUGAUGCUCGAAAGUGUGGGUAUCAAACAGGAUUAGAUACCCUGGUAGUCCACACAGUAAACGAUGAAUACUCGCUGUUUGCGAUAUACAGUAAGCGGCCAAGCGAAAGCAUUAAGUAUUCCACCUGGGGAGUACGCCGGCAACGGUGAAACUCAAAGGAAUUGACGGGGGCCCGCACAAGCGGAGGAACAUGUGGUUUAAUUCGAUGAUACGCGAGGAACCUUACCCGGGCUUAAAUUGCAUUUGAAUAAUCUGGAAACAGGUUAGCCGCAAGGCAAAUGUGAAGGUGCUGCAUGGUUGUCGUCAGCUCGUGCCGUGAGGUGUCGGCUUAAGUGCCAUAACGAGCGCAACCCUUAUCUUUAGUUACUAACAGGUCAUGCUGAGGACUCUAGAGAGACUGCCGUCGUAAGAUGUGAGGAAGGUGGGGAUGACGUCAAAUCAGCACGGCCCUUACGUCCGGGGCUACACACGUGUUACAAUGGGGGGUACAGAAGGCAGCUACCUGGUGACAGGAUGCUAAUCCCAAAAGCCUCUCUCAGUUCGGAUCGAAGUCUGCAACCCGACUUCGUGAAGCUGGAUUCGCUAGUAAUCGCGCAUCAGCCAUGGCGCGGUGAAUACGUUCCCGGGCCUUGUACACACCGCCCGUCAAGCCAUGAAAGCCGGGGGUACCUGAAGUACGUAACCGCAAGGAGCGUCCUAGGGUAAAACUGGUAAUUGGGGCUAAGUCGUAACAAGGUAGCCGUACCGGAAGGUGCGGCUG
rnacentral:rRNA from 2 species